rnacentral:rRNA from 1 species
UACGUAGGGUGCGAGCGUUGUCCGGAAUUAUUGGGCGUAAAGAGCUCGUAGGCGGCUUGUUGCGUCGGAUGUGAAAGCCCGGGGCUUAACUCCGGGUCUGCAUUCGAUACGGGCAGGCUAGAGUUCGGUAGGGGAGAUCGGAAUUCCUGGUGUAGCGGUGAAAUGCGCAGAUAUCAGGAGGAACACCGGUGGCGAAGGAGGAUCUCUGGGCCGAUACUGACGCUGAGGAGCGAAAGCGUGGGGAGCGAACAGG